rnacentral:rRNA from 1 species
UGGGGAAUCUUGGACAAUGGGCGCAAGCCUGAUCCAGCCAUGCCGCGUGAGUGAAGAAGGCCUUCGGGUUGUAAAGCUCUUUCGGACGGAACGAAACGGUUAGCGUGAAUAGCGCUGACUAAUGACGGUACCGUAAGAAGAAGCACCGGCUAACUACGUGCCAGCAGCCGCGGUAAUACGUAGGGUGCGAGCGUUAAUCGGAAUUACUGGGCGUAAAGCGUGCGCAGGCGGCGGCACAAGUCAGGUGUGAGAUCCCCGGGCUUAACCUGGGAAUUGCGCUUGAAACUAGGUCGCUUGAGUGUGGCAGAGGGGGGUGGAAUUCCACGUGUAGCAGUGAAAUGCGUAGAGAUGUGGAGGAACACCGAUGGCGAAGGCAGCCCCCUGGGUCAACACUGACGCUCAUGCACGAAAGCGUGGGGAGCAAACAGGAUUAGAUACCCGUGUAGUCCCUGAGCGGGCUGGCAAGGCGCAU